rnacentral:rRNA from 1 species
GCAUGCCUUACACAUGCAAGUCGAACGGCAGCACGGGUGCUUGCACCUGGUGGCGAGUGGCGAACGGGUGAGUAAUACAUCGGAACAUGUCCUGUAGUGGGGGAUAGCCCGGCGAAAGCCGGAUUAAUACCGCAUACGAUCUAUGGAUGAAAGCGGGGGACCUUCGGGCCUCGCGCUAUAGGGUUGGCCGAUGGCUGAUUAGCUAGUUGGUGGGGUAAAGGCCUACCAAGGCGACGAUCAGUAGCUGGUCUGAGAGGACGACCAGCCACACUGGGACUGAGACACGGCCCAGACUCCUACGGGAGGCAGCAGUGGGGAAUUUUGGACAAUGGGCGAAAGCCUGAUCCAGCAAUGCCGCGUGUGUGAAGAAGGCCUUCGGGUUGUAAAGCACUUUUGUCCGGAAAGAAAUCCUUGGUUCUAAUAUAGCCGGGGGAUGACGGUACCGGAAGAAUAAGCACCGGCUAACUACGUGCCAGCAGCCGCGGUAAUACGUAGGGUGCGAGCGUUAAUCGGAAUUACUGGGCGUAAAGCGUGCGCAGGCGGUUUGCUAAGACCGAUGUGAAAUCCCCGGGCUCAACCUGGGAACUGCAUUGGUGACUGGCAGGCUAGAGUAUGGCAGAGGGGGGUAGAAUUCCACGUGUAGCAGUGAAAUGCGUAGAGAUGUGGAGGAAUACCGAUGGCGAAGGCAGCCCCCUGGGCCAAUACUGACGCUCAUGCACGAA